ACUCGUAGAAAUAUCACCAGCUCCUUAUACUCGAAAAUUGGAAGAACGCGGGAAUAAUAAGCAGCAAUAAUAAGCAGCAACAGCAGCAGUAACAGCAACAGCAGCAGCAGCAGCAGCAGUAAUAGUAGUAGUAGUAAUAGUGUAGUAGCAGUAGUAGUAGUAGUAGUAGUAGUAGUAGUAACAACAGUAACAAACACCGAAUCAACAGAACGUGUAAGCAACACGAUUCGCGCUGACAACCGCGUCAGAACGCCCGUCAAAACGAGCCGACGUAUUAUAUGUUUUCUUGGAGUAUUCUUUUAAAAGCAGCGUGCGUCUAACGCGCGCGUCAUAACUUCUCUCUCUCGCUCUCUCUCUCUCUCUCACACUCACUCGCACACUCUUUUUCUUUCUCGCUCUCUCUCUAUCUAUCUAUCCAUCUAUCUAUUUAUCUAUCUAUCUAUCUAUCUCUUGUCUCUCGACGUAUCACGCUCCCUCUGCUGCGUGGUCGUUCGUUCUUUCGCUCCUUCGUUCGUUCGUUCGUUCGUUCGUUCGUUCGUUUGUAAGUACGUACGUACAUACGUUCGGUCGGUCUGUCGGUUAUAUCGUCGUCGUUGUCGUCGCUGCUGUCGUUGUCGUCGUCGUCAUCAUCGGAGAAGCGUACAUAGCGGCCGCCGCCGUACGGGACGCCACCGCCGGGAGAGAGCCAACGGGCGUGGACUGGAGCGAUACAUCGACGCGUUUCACCCGUUACGCGGGCACUUUGUCAUCGCUCGACUGUAUUUAAAUUAACUGACAGAUAAAUUGACCGGAAAGAGAAACGACCGAAGCAGCUUUUACUCGUUCAACGUAAUUUCCACGAAUCAAGGAUGAAUCGUGGAAAUGAACUAAGAGCCGAAUAAAAACAAAAAUGGGGGUUGACACGCGUCUCGCUUGAAUCACGUUGGAUCGAAGCGACGGGGCGACGAUGAUGCGACGACGAGGCGACGACGGGACGACAGCGGUGAUGGCGGGGGCGGCGGCGGCGGCGUCGGUGGAGUCGGCGAUGGCAGCGGCAGGUUCCUUUUGUACGCUCGAUCCAUUGUACUCGACAAACACCACGAACGAAUAAACACCGUGCUGCAUUUUCUCUGCGCGUGAAAAUGCGCUUCCUUGCUCGUAUAGUCCUCGAAAAAAUCCUCGUAAGUUUUUCUUACGAUUUUCCGAACUAUUAAAGCGAAUAAUCCAAUGCGAUCGUGAAACUUGUUAAAAAAAAAAAAAAAAAAAAAGAAAAAAAAGAAGGAAAAACCUUUUCUUUCCAUACCCCUUUUAAAUUGCGCCCAACUCGAAAAUUCUUUUUUUAAUUUUGUCCUUCGAAGGUAUUAAUAUUUUCCCGGAAUUUCUACUUAAUUUUACGAUGAUAAAACUCUAAAAAUCGCAUAUAAAAAGAAUAUUAAUAUUAAUAUUAUUAUUAUUAUUA